rnacentral:rRNA from 1 species
AGAGUUUGAUCCUGGCUCAGCCUGAACGCUGGCGGCGUGGCUAAGACAUGCAAGUCGUACGGAUGUAGCAAUACAUCAGUGGCGAACGGGUGAGUAAUGAAUCGCUAAUGUGCCCCGGACUCUGGGAUAGCUGCCUGAAAGGGCAGGUAAUACCAGAUGAUAUAACCUAAUCGCAUGAUUGGGUUCUCAAAGGUCCGCCGGUCUGGGAGCAGGCGAUUUCGUAUCAGCUAGUUGGUGAGGUAACGGCUCACCAAGGCGACGACGCGUAGCCGGACUGAGAGGUUGGCCGGCCACAUUGGGACUGAGACACUGCCCAGACUCCUACGGGGGGCUGCAGUAACGAAUCUUCCGCAAUGCACGAAAGUGUGACGGAGCGACGCCGCGUGUGGGAUGAAGUUCUUCGGAAUGUAAACCACUGUCAGGGGUUAGAAAGUUCUGAUCAACCCCAGAGGAAGGCACGGCUAACUCUGUGCCAGCAGCCGCGGUAAGACAGAGGUGCCAAGCGUUAGGCGGAAUCACUGGGCUUAAAGCGUGUGUAGGCGGACUCGUAAGUACCUUGUGAAAUCCCACGGCUUAACCGUGGAACUGCUGGGUAUACUGCGGGUCUUGAGCCACCUAGGGGCGAGCGGAACAAAUGGUGGAGCGGUGAAAUGCGUAGAUAUCAUUUGGAACGCCAAUGGUGAAAACAGCUCGCUGGGGGUGUGCUGACGCUGAGACACGAAAGCCAGGGGAGCAAACGGGAUUAGAUACCCUAGUAGUCC